GACACUAUGAGACUUGCUGAGGCUUCUGGGAAAGAAACUGAUGCUCCUUCCAGCUGAAUCUAAAUUCUGAGAAGCCAAGGGGGGUUGAAUGUACUGCAGCCAUUUUUCUUACAGUGUCAGCAACUGAAAUCUAUACAGGAAAAAGCACAGCUGAUUCAUAGGGAGAAACUGAGUCCUGAUGACAUCACCUGACCCUGAAUCCAGCUCUAGCUAGCGGUGCCUGGACUUCAAAGUUUGGUUUUACAGGCAAGAAUGGAGUCUCAGAAAGAACCUCUCCAAAUGGAACAAUGAUUGAGCUCACUUGGCACAAAAUGUAAAAUACUUUUGAAGAAUUCCAUCAUAGCUAGAUGGCUGGGUUGGUCCAGGACCAAAAGUAAAUGCUGGAAGAAAAAUGAAAUCAAUCUUUCCACUCCAAACCGCUGUCUGUGAUAGUAAAAGAACCACCAGACUACCUUGAAAUCAAGUCAUGAAAUAUAUUUGUAUUUUAAAAAUCAGUUGUAUUCCUCAAAUUAGCAUCUCUUGUUAAUGUAGUUAUGGUCUUCUUUGAUCUCAAAGACCAAUCCUUUGUUAACAGACCGACUAAGCAAAAGUAAACUGAUCAAAUAGCAGGAUGUCACAGUAGUAAACUAAAAUUUCUUCAAUCUAAAUUCAAGAUGAUUUCUCCAUCUCUGUCUUAUACAUUUGCCUUUUAGGAAAAAAACUCUACCACAUAAUUAACUUCGGUGGAAUGAAUCAGACUGCAUUUGGAAAGGUUGUAGAAGAGUGAUGAGUUAUGUUAAACAGUAUCAUUAUCUCCUUCGACAGAAAUUACUAACAUCCAUAACUGGUUCUUAAUCAGACCCCAAGAUAUCUUUACUUAUUAGACUAUAUAAACAAUAAAACUUAAAGGACAAAUAUAAUAAAAUACAUGUUUCUUUAUAUAACAAAACAAAAAUUUAAAUCAGAAGAACUACUAGAAAAAAAUUGUAUAUCGACAUUUUUUAAGUUAGUUAUUUGCCAUGAAUUCUUCUACUUUGUUUUCCUUGUAGAAAUUCCAUUACUAACCUGAAACUAGAAAGUAAAUACACUUUGGGAGGCCCAGGCAGGCAGAUUGCCUGAGCUCAGGAGUUCAAGACCAGCCUGGGCAACAUGGCAAAACUCCACCUCUAUUAAAAAUACAAAUAUUUAGCCAGGCAUGGUGGUGGGCGCCGUAGACCCAGCCACUUGGGAAGCCAGACACAAGAAUCACUUGAACCCGGGAGGCAGAGGUUGCAGUGGCGAUCACAACACUGAACUCCAGCCAGGAUGACAGAGUGAGACUUUGUCCCUCCAAAAAAACAUUUAUUGUGACCAAAUAAAGAAAAGCCAAAUUGACACCUUUUUUUUUUUGAGACGGAGUUUCACUCUUGUUGCCCAGGCUGGAGUGCAGUGACGCAACCUCCACCUCCCAGGUUCAUGAGAUUCUCCUGCCUCAGCAUCCCGAGUAGCUGGUAUGUGCCACCAUGCCUGGCUAAUUUUGUAUUUUUAAUAGAGACAGAGUUUCUCCAUGUUGGUCAGGCUGGUCGCAAUCUCCUGACCUCAGGUGAUCCACCUGCCUUGGCCUCCCAAAGUGCCAGGAUUACAGGCGUGAGCUACCACAUCCAGCCAAUACAUUAUUAAAAUAACCCAAGUGGGACCUGGUGCAGUGGCUCAUGCCUGUAAUCCCAGCAUUUUGGGAGGCCAAGGCGGGCGGAUCUCGAGGUCAGGAGUUUGAGACCAGCCUGAUCAACACGGUGAAACCCGUCUCCACUAAAAAUACAAAAAUUAGCCAGAUGUGGUGGCAUUCGCCUUUAAUCCGAGGUACUCAGGAGGCUGAGGCAGGAGAAUUGCUCGAACCCAGGAGACAGAGGUUGCAGUGAGCUGACAUCGAGCCACCGCACUCCACCUGGGUGACAGAGCGUGACUCUCUCUCAAAAAUAAGUAAAUGAAUUUUAAAAAAAAACAACCCAAGUGAAGAGGAAGAAAGCAUAUCAGAACAGGCCCCUCUUCCCCACUGAGCAGCAGGGCCCUGGUGAGCCAGUGAGGAUAAGCUGUGUCAUGCUUCCUUAGGGAGAAAAAGUAUUACUUUAGAGAUGGCACAAUCACUUUGAAAUGCCUAUAAAAUAAUGUCAAAACUCAUUACCAGAUAUCCGGGCCACCAAAAAUCUAGCUACAACCCCAGCACAGGCCCCAAGUCCACAGGCGUCCGAGACUCUGAUAACAUCGAUCCCUCUGCCCAGAACAUCCUUUCCUCGCCUCUCUCUGGACCUAAAUCCUACCCAGAUUUUAACCAACACUUCAAGAUCUAUUUCUCUAAGAUGCUCUCCUCCCAAAACUAAAAUAGCAUUACGUCCUAUAGAAUUAUUUGGCCUCUGAGUCAUCUAUUAUCUUGAAUUAAAUGUAUUGUGUAAAACGCCUUUCUGCCCAAUACAACUAUCUUAUAAAUUAGAGUCCAUUUUAUACCAUCUUUAUCCCAAUGGCAAACAUUCAAUUUACUAAAACCAUUCAAUAAAUAAAUAUCCCAAAGAUGACCUAAAAUAACCUAAAUGCCAAGCAUACCAAGAACUGUCCUGUUCCAAAUUCAGUUCUCAUUAGCAUGUCAAGUCCCAAAGAGGCAUGUUGUACUACCUUUAAGUUCAUCUGCAUUUAUCCAAAACUGGAAUCUAUAUGGUCCUAUAGUAUAUACAGGCAAAAUAUUCUGCAAAGUAGUUUUAUUCCCUGUACUGUACUUAAUAUUCAACCAGACUUGCACUUUUCUCUAAAACAUAAAAUUGCUGAGUAUGCAAGAAGCAUUAGAAGAGACUAAGCCUACAGAGAAGAAAACUAGAAACUAAAAUCAUCAACCAUGGUCUAUUUUGAAUAAUCACUUUCGUAGAGGUAAAUUCUCUGAAAUUCCAGAAUGGAAUUUAAUAUAGCAUAAAAUGUUUUAAAUACAUACAAGAAAUAUCUGAUGGGCCUUCUGCCAUCUGUUUUAGCGACUAAGAUUAACUAAAUUUUCUAAAAAUUAUAUCAACAGCUAAAAUUGAGAUUUUUUUUUUCUAUCUAUUAUUUUUCCUGAUCCAUUUUUCAGGAUUUCCAGCAAUUCUGGAGCUAGCCUUCUUAGUUUCAAGAAUUCCAAAUUAUUUCUUGAAGAGUUUGAGCCUCUUCCAAAUCAUUUAACAUGCUUAUUAAUCAAGAAAAAUAUGAAGAAACAAAACCCCAUACUUAAUACGCAAGCAGGCCAGGUGUGGCUCAUGCCUGUAAUCCCAGCACUUUGGGAGGCAGAGGCAGGCAGAUCACGAGAUCAGGAGUUCGAGACCAGCCCUACCAACAUGGUGAAACUGUAUCUCUACUAAAACUACAAAAAUUAGCCGGGCGUGGUGGCACUUGCUUGUAAUCCCAGCUACUUGGGAGGCUGAGGCAGGGAGAAUGACUUGGUGAGUGUCAAGGUCACACCACUGCACUCCAGCCUGGGCAACAGAGCAAGACUCCAUCUCAAAAAAAAAAAAAAAAAAAAAGCAAGCAAAU